rnacentral:lncRNA from 1 species
UGAAUAACACAAUGAUCAGGAAAGAAUUCAAUUUUACAGUUAAGGGCAUUGGUGAUAGCACUGACAGAUAAAAAGUUGACAGGAAAGUGGGGAACAUGAAGGACAGAUGAUAAUUUAAUGUUGGAUGUGCAAAUAACAGAACUUGUUCCGGAUAUGGGAGUAAAAGAGCCAUCAGCAAUUCUGACACUAUCUUUGGUUAGAGAAGGAGAAUAAUUGAAAAAGCCUUUAGAAGAGCUUGUCAUAUGUCUAUUCGCACCAGAAUCGAUAAUCCAUGGAACAUUAUUAAAAGAUGAAGCAUUACCUGACUUUACAAAGUUAGAUGUAGCACCAGAGGAUGAAGAGGUGUCAAUAUGAGACAAGAGGCGCUUGAGACUCUAAAGUUCAUUAGGGGAAAGGAAAUCAGUCGUUGUUGUCUACUUAAAGGGCUCCUCCACAGUUUCUGCUAAAUUAACUUGAUUUCUGGAGAUACCUCAUUUUCCUCCACGGCCUCUAGUGGGACGACCAUGUAACUUCCAACAAGUCUCUUUGGUAUGCCUCGGUUUCCCACAAUAGUCACAAUGUAGGUGAUCUUUCUCAGAAGUAGGAGGUUGUGGUAUGCUCAAACUAGUAGUCAACCCAGCCUUUUCAACUGGUGCAGUAUAGAGCAUAGCAUGUCGAUGACUUUCCUCUUGUUAAACAUGGGCGUGGGUCUCUUCUAGAGAAGGAAAAGGAUUUCUUCCCAACACUUGGACCCGAAUUGGAUCAUAUUCAUUAUUCAACCCUGCAAGAAAAUCAUAGACCCGCUCUUUUUCAAUCAUUCUCCGAAAUUUGACUGCAUCUCCAGUGCAGUCUGCCUGGAAGUCUUGAUAGUAAUCACGUUCCUGCCAUAAGCCACAUAACUCAGAAUAAAGUUGGAAGAUAGUCAUUUCUCCUUGCUUAGUACCAUGAAUCUUAUUUUGAAUAUCAUAAAUUUGGGCAUCAUUCCCAAUCUUGGAAUAAGUUAAGGACAAAGCCUUCCAUAUUUUUGCAGCAGUAUCAAUUAACAAAUAGGACUUUGAGAUAUGAGAUUGCAUAGAGUUAAGUAACCAUGUCAUAACAAGACAAUUAUCCGAGUCCCAUUGAGGAAAAUCUGGAUCACUCUCAUCCGGUUGCUUUUUAUUACCAGUGCCAUAGCCCUGCAGUCCUCUAGCCUUGAUAAACAACAAACAAGACCUUGACCAAGCAAGAUAAUUGGUUCCAUCAAGUUUUAUAGGACUAAUUUGCAAGGAAGGAUUAUCAGAGUUAGGAAUCGAGACCCUUUUACCUUUUGCCAUGGUAAAGAUUUAUGAAUCGUGAAAAAAUAGGAGGUACCCAAGGUUGUAUGCAUAAGAGAGCCCAAUCGAUUCACCAAAAAAACCGGGUAACAACACGGGAAGGCCGGAAAUAUGGUCGGAAUUGUCGCCGGAGUGAUCGGACCGGCGAAACAGCGACAGGCGAUGGGUCACGCGCCGGGAAGCGAUGGGGCUCCUAGAUAAGUUAGUACCAAAAAAGGUAGAUCUAGGGUUUUGAAACCCUAAAGAGGAAAAAUUGAAUUUAGACCCAAAAAUCAGGAAAAGGCUCUGAUACCAUGAAGGAUUUUGGGAGAAUUUUGAAUAUUCUUGUAUUUCACUCUUAAUUUUUCCAAUUGGUUUACAUGACUAUUUAUACACAAAUAAUUAUAUCUAAACAGGAAGCAAAUAAUCAAAUAAUAAUUACAGAGAUAAUUAAGGAUCCUAAUCAAAUCAAAUCAUAUCCCUAGAAUCAGUUAGGAUCAGCAAAUAAGUCAACAGUAUACAUUAUUUUGAAUUAAAUCUAAUCAAUAACAUUUCAUUUUAUAAAUUUUGCAAAUUAAUUUGAAAAAUUUGCUAGAGCCGUUACCGUCACGCUUGUUUCCGUUACCAGCAACCGCGAUUUAAAACCAUAACCCAUAAUUAGCAUAAGCACAGUCCAACAAUUAUACUAGGGCGCAAAGAAAAUAUCAGGCCUUGUGGAUGUUCAGAUACAUCUUAUGUUUCAAUAACAGAACAAGUUUUUAAAAUAUUUUAAUAGGGGGAAAAAAACCUACAGCUUCCAGCACAGCAGUGGUGGUAGAAGAUGACAAUCGACGUUGACUAGGGCCUCCAAGUUUUCCUCUCAAAGAACUUGGUAAAGUUGUGUCCUUCACAACACUCGUCCAGAAAAUGGAACAAGACAUGCUAGCAAAAGAGAUCAGCUCCUCCUACCAGAAAGCAAAAGAGGACAUAAGAUUUUCAAUCAAUGAUAUGUAGAAUCACAUAUUGAAUACAGAGAAGCAGUUAGCUCAGUACUAGUAUUGACAGAAAGAGAUCAGAAAAUUUUCUGCAAACUACAGAAGCUUCUGCAUAUUCCAACUGAUCUACUGUCUCAACCGAGCUAAUUUCUGACUGAGAUCUAAUUCUGCUACGACGUUCAAGUGCUAUCUCUUGCAUAGUUUGAAUCUCUACAACCAGGUUAAUGGUAAGGACAAGAAACUUCACAGGUGUCCAACCAACACGAUUGUAGUGUUUGCAGAUGCUAAUUCCACAACUGUGAACAAACUGGACAUACAAUACAAAACAAGAGUAAGAAUAGACAAAUAAAAAUGAUAAAUUUUAGCAAUAGGCCAAUAGGCAACAAGUAGCAAAUUUGCAUUUGGAUAAUAUACUCUCAAAUAAAUGACCAACAAGAUAAGAAUUAUUAGCUCAUAGUUCAAUUGUCAAUUGAACAAGCAGAUUAUAUUUGCACUGCUUUCUCAAAUAAGCAGCUCCAUUUCUUUCCUUCUCUCACACUUACAAAUCGUCUUUUUUCCUUUUAUGUCUUUCCCACAAUUAGAUGAGAGGAGAAAAGCUCAAGGGGUCCUCAUUAAGCAAUAAAGCAAUAGCAGCACCUUGACAGUUGACAGGAAAAGUUUUGCAUGAAAACUAGGUUCUUUAUAUGCAAUUUAAUGCAGCAAAUGACAUCUUUGAAAUCUACGUAUAAAUGUUCGGAAAGACAAGCACAACUACCCUUGUUCUCAAUAAAAUAAAUAAAUAAAAGGUGUCAAAACAAUAAGGAAAUAAAAACAAAAGGCAGAGUGAGUUCAAUUUAUUAUCUCAUCGUACAUAAUGAGGAAGGCUUUUCCAGUUCCUUCAAAAUUAGGUGCUAGCCUAUCUAAAGCUCUAAUAAUUAGAAGCGCCAAUAAGUUUGACAUUGUUAUCCACGCUCAAUCUUACAAGCAACACAUACUUGUUACGGUCAACAUUUUUCCAUAGCAAUAACCAUAUGCUUAAAGACACUAGGCAAAAGGCCUAAUAAUACAAUUUGAGAAUCUUUCAGCUUCUUUCCUACAAAUAAACACGUAUGAUGUCACAUGAAGCAAUCAAUGAGCAGAAAGCAUAAGACGGUGUAUGCGAACCGUGAAUAUAGGAACUAAAUGAUCUUCCCCCAGCAUUACAAGAAAAAGCACUCUUGCCCAUCUUUUCACUUCAGAUUCCCAUACAUCUAAGUCUUCAUCAUCAAAACUAAAGAAAGCAUCAUCCGAGAAUUGAGAACUUGAAAACUUUUCUGGGAAUUCCUGAAGGCUUUUCAGAAGCUGAAGCUUAGCACUGCAGUUAUGCGAACUGUGGUGUUCCUUAUCAGCCCCCAAAAGCCAUUCUUGCAUUUUUACCCUUAAGGAACCUACAAGACAACGAGACGGAGAGAGAAGAGAGAUCUAUAAGAAAAUCCUACAAAGCUGGGGAGAUAUGACUAGAGAAAGAGAAAAUGAAUAGAACUAACAAGAUUCUAACACAUCAUAAGCCAUAAAAACAAGAACUCACACAACUAAUGAGAAUUGAUACAAUAAAUUUUACUAGAAAAAUUUGCACUUCAUAGCUGUAACCCAUAAGUUGAUUUCACAACAACAUUAAAAUAACUAUUUAUAUUCAUCACAUGCUUCCAAAUCAUUGACAUUGUUAAGAAAAAUGGAUAUAGACCUAACUCAACCCCAAAAGCUAGUUCCAGAGGGAAAGAAUUGCUCAAGUCUUCAUAUGGGCACAUUACCACAUGCCUAACCACUUGGGACAUCGAACACAUUUCUCUCAUGCUUGAGGAUAACACUUAGAGCGUGAAAAAUUUAUGAGAGGCCAACAUCAGUUAGGGAGGUUCUAACACCAUGUUAAGAAAAUGGGCUUGUACCUAAUUCAACCACAAAAGCUUGGUCAACAAAGGAGGAUUACCCAAAUUUUUGUAAAGGGCAUAUUACUCACAUACCAGACCAAUGUGAGAUAUUUAAUAGAAAAAGAAAGAAAUCAGUUGAUAGCCACCAUAAAAUAUAUUAUCCAACCUUAUAAUCACGAAUCUUUUUAAAAGAAAUUUAGGUUUAACAGUUUUAUAUUUUAUUGCAUGUACUUCCAUAAAAAAUGGUUCAUACUUUCAUAAAAAUUGGUUCCCUACUCCUCCAAGAAGGAUCUCAUCUCUUUGACGAGUAGGAAGCUGACCUCUAGUGCAACAGGCCAAAAGUACAAGCAAUCAAAAGACAAUCAUACAAAUCCUCUAUAAGGCAUCUAAUCUAAUCAACAUGACUUUCUCUUUGUCGAUAAAAUGGACUGGGCUUAACUCUACCCCUAAAGUUAGCUCAAGGUAGAAAAAUUACUUAAGUCCUUAUAUUUAGUAUUAGAUCCAUGCGUCAAACCAAUGUCAGACAACACACCCUCCUCACGCCUAGGCAUGAACAUCUAGAGCAUAAAGUUUGCAAGCAUACACAUCUGCUGGUGCCCAAAAUAGAAGUAGGCCUAAUUCUACCUCAAAAGCUAGCUCAAAGGAGGAGGAUUGCCCAAGUCGGCAAGUCCUUACAUUUAGUAUUAGAUCCAUGUCCCAAACCAAACCAAUGUGGGACAACACUCUUCAUCAAUGUAACGUCAAAUAGAAUCAUGAAAUCUACACAUUUAUUUGAAAAAAUAAAAGCAAGCUUUCUGUUGAAGAAUAAAUAUGAAGUAGCAUUUUAUUGUCAAAAAGCAAACUAAAUUCCAAAAAUUUUUAAUCUUAAUAACAAAUUAAAAAGGAAAACAAUCAAAAUCAUAUAAAUUCCAUACUUAUUAUUGGAAUUCCUUAUUAGUGUCAACUGUUAAGCCACACAAGCAAAAUAACAACAUAAUAUAAGGAGAAAAAAGACGACGGGAGAUCAAUAAAAAAAAAAAAGAAAGAUAACAAGGGGAAAGUAUUUUGAGGAGCAAACCACAAGGAAGGAAUCCAUGCAACAGCUAUUUGCUUACCCCCAUAAUCGGUAAAUUCCCGUGGCACUGUUGAAACAAAGUGCAAGAGAAUCUCAAGAGGCAUAUCAAAUGUAUUGACAACUGAAGCAGCAGCCUCCAGGACUUUCUCGCAAACUGCAAAUGCCAAAAAGUUUACCAAAAUAAUUGCCAUAGCCUUUGAUGUUGCAGUGUAAAUCUUAAAAUAAUACAUAUAUGAUAUAUCACAAUCUAUCCAGAGACCUCGAAGACGAUAAUUAGGGUUGAAAUGCUGUUUGCUGCUCUCAAUGACAAAUCUCAAAACAUCUAGUAAGUCCGCUUCAUCAAUGUCAUUGAAAAUUUUUGAAGAAGAUUCCAGCUGAGCCUCAUGAGGAAAAGCAUCUUCGCUCCAUUCAGCUUUCUUGUCAUCCUGUAUUCCUACUCCACAAGCAGCUGAAGCAAUACAUUCAGCAAGGGCCAUUAAUCCAGCUCUCCCAAAAGACUUAUGUUUAGCAAUGGAUGCUAAACUAUGCAAAAAGAUGAUUCCUUUCCUGUAACCAUAUAAGAUCAGUUGCACCAAUCAGAGCAAUUUCUUUUCCAAGCAGCAAUUAAAUACUGAUCACUCCAACUAAUUCCACAAAGAAGGUUGUUUCUCUCCUUGUGCCCCAACCAAUCACUGCAAGGAGCAGUAGGAUUUAAAAGUCCAUUUAAAAGCACUCAAAUCACAGAUUUUAAGAAUUGAUUUAACAAGAAGAAUGUAUCCUCCCAAAAAAAAAAUCCAUGUAUCUCCCCUCCCCCAACUAGAAGCUACUAGCUACGAAAGCAAAUAAUAAUAAUAAAAAAAAAAACCAUUGUCUGGAAACAAAUGAAGGGCCAUGCUCUUUUUCUGAACACAUGCAAAAACUUGGGGGGGUGUAUGUAGAACCAAGAAGAAACCAAGAACAAGAAGAAACCAAGAACAAGAAGAAACCAAGAACAAGAAGAAACCAAGAACAAUGAGAAACAAAUUCUCAAAGACAACAGAGAAAUUCAAGAGAAACAAAUUGUCAACCUUUUUUUAUAGAGUUUUUCAAUCGUAAUCACAUUAGAAAAAUCCUAAUUCAAUUCUGAUUAGUGAUUAGGAAUACUAAAUUAAAAUAAACUCCCUAAACAAAAUACUAAACCUAAUAAUAAUAGAAUUACUAAAUAAUAGAACUCUACACUUCCUAAUUUUACAAUAAAUAAGAUUCCUAACUUUUUUAUUCUCUUCCAAUACUGCAUCAGGUGGGAAUGUGUGUAUAUAUAUAUACAUAUACACCCACAUAUAUAUAGGCAGGGAUGAGACAGGAGAUUGCUCAAUCCACCCACCCCCUUGCCAAUACAAUAUGCCAUGGUAACAUACCUCAAGUUUAGGUGUCUAGUAUACUGAAACAAAAAUGUGGCUGCACCUCCAAUAGUCCUUGAAGUGUAAACUCCCUUUACACCUAAAAGAAAAAUAAAACAUGUUGGAAGUUGAUUCAGUGCAACGUGAUAUUCCAACUAUACUUUUUGCUCACGAAAUUAGUGAUAGUGAAAUGGAAAUUCUGGUUGAAGUUAAACAAUCUCAUUGGAAGGUAUACAGAUCACAGAGUGGCUCAGUAUGGAAAUGUAAAAGACAUCUAAAAUUUGACUGUCAUGAGAAUUUCUAUUAUAAUUGCAAAAUUUAUGAAAAAGUAAACAAACAUAAAUGCUUGGACAUAAAUAAGAAAUAAAAGUUAAGUUUAACUGGCCUCAACUAGAAGAAUUGUAAAUCUGGGUAAUUGACUGGAAGUUUAGAGAAAUAUACCCCACCUUCCCUCUCAAUAUUGUAGAUUGAACAGGAAAUAUGAAGAGCUUAAAGAGAACUCUCCCGCUCUCUAAUGAAGGUAUAACAAGGUUAUACAACCCAUUCUAUUGAAAGCACAAGAAGGAUACUCGACCUAUUCUAUCCACCAACAGAGAAGGAUCAAUCACUUUAAUAGCUAAGCAACCCACAAUGCGUCCUUACUUUUACUUUUUUUUUUCUUGAUAUAAAACAGAGAGAAGAGUACAACUUGGAGUACAAAAUAUUGUCCAAUGACUCCUAUCAAAAUGCUCAAAACAAAAGUGAACACCGGCACUAUUAAAAAAGCAACUGAUCCCACUUCUCCAAAAUCCACAUACAUUAAAAAUAAAUCAGUUGCAUCCCACUCCCGAUACCUGUACAUUUCCCUGAUUACUCCAUCCCCUCAUCCCUCAUCUCUCUCUCUCUCUCUCACUCAUACAAACAAAUGAGUAUCUCAGUCCUCAGUCCUCACCAAAAGAAUAGUAACAACUAAUACAAUGCCAACCAUUUUCAAAUAAAUUAUGUCAGAACUCAGAAAGCCUGAAAUGCCCUUACAUUUGAUCCCAGCUUACCAAAUCUAAAAAAGAACAGAAACAAAAUGUUUUAAAAUAAUAUUUAAUACUUCAUAAGAUUCUUCUUUGAAGAUUUUUGGGAAAAUUUAGAGAAUUCUUGUAUUUCACUCUUAAUCUUUACAAUUGGUUUAUAUGACUAUUUAUACACAAAUAAUUAUAUCUAAACAGGAAGCAAAUAAUCAAAUAAAAAUUACAGAGAUAAUUAAGGAUCCUAAUCAAAUCAAAUCAAAUCAAAUCCCUAGAAUCAGCUAGGAUUAGUAAAUAAGUCAACACUCCCCUUCAAGUUGGUGCAAAGAUGUCACACAUGCCCAACUUGCAAAUCAGAUUAUGGUAGAUCUUGUUGUUAAGCCCUUUAGUAAACACAUCCGCAAGUUGCCCCGUAGAAGUCACAUGAACUAGGCUCAAGACACCGUCUGUUAAUUUUUCUUAAAUGAAGUGCCGAUCAAUUUCAAUGUGCUUCGUCUGGUCAUGUUGGACGGGAUUUUGUGCUAUACUUAUGGCAGCUUUAUUGUCACAAUAUAAAGUUAUCAUGUCUCUCUCGAGCAACCUCAACUCCUCCAAUAACUUCUGUAGCCAUAAGAGUUCACACAUACCUUGGGUCAUUGCUCUGUAUUCUGCUUCAGCACUUGACCGAGCAACAACACUUUGUUUUUUGCUCCUCCAGGUGACAAGGUUCCCUCCCACAACUAUGCAGUAGCCAAAGGUGGAUCUCCUGUCAUUGAGAGAUCCCGCCCAAUCUGCAUCUGUAAAAGCUUCAACUCGAAGGUGACCAUGUUUGGAGUAAAGAAGUCAUUUUCCUAACGCAGACUUUAGGUAUCUUAAGAUGCGAAGUACAGCUUGCAUAUGAGUCUCGCGAGGGUCAUGCAUGAAUUGGCUGACUAAGCUAACAGCAUAGACUAUAUCCGGUCGAGUGUGUGAGAGAUAAAUCAACCUUUCUACCAAUCUCUAGUAUCUUCCAAUAUCCACGGACUCACCAGUUCCCGCUUCCAGCUUGUGAUUACUUUCAAUGAGAGAUUCUGCUGGUUUACACCCCAUCAUACCAGUUUCUUCCAACAAAUCCAGAAUGUACUUUUUUGGGAGAUGAAAAUUCCUUUUUCUGAUCUAGCCACCUCGAUACCUAGGAAAUAUUGCAGUUUUCCUAGAUCUUUGAUUUCAAAUUCUUGAGCUAACAACCUCUUUAGUUGAGUCAUUUCCUCUUUGUCAUUGCCUGUCACCACUAUAUCAUCAACAUAAACAAUAAGAAGGGUGAUCUUACCCUUGUGAUGUUUGAUAAACAGAGUGUGAUCAACAUUGCUUUGUUGGUAACCAAAGGACAUCAUGGCUCUGCUAAACCUGUCAAACCAAGCUCUAGGAGAUUGUUUUAGCCCAUACAAAGCCUUUUUUAACCUGCACACCUUUCCUUGUAUCUUCUCAUCAGCAAGCCCAGGAGGAAUUUCCAUGUACACUUCUUCCUCUAAAUCUCCAUGGAGGAAAGCAUUCUUCACAUCAAACUGUUGCAAGUCCCAGUCCAAGUUGGCUGCGCAGGAUAACAAAACUCUGAUUGAGUUCAUUUUUGCAACUGGGGCAAAUGUCUCUUGGUAAUCCACUCCAUAGGUUUGGGUGAAUCCUUUAGCAACCAAUCUGGCCUUAAACCGUUCAAUUGUGCUAUCAGCUUUGUGUUUCACUGUGAACACCCAUUUACAGCCAAUGAGUUUCUUCUCACGUGGGAGAGUGACAAGCUCCCAAGUCUCGUUUUUAGCCAAUAUUUUCAUCUCUUCAAUCAUUGCUUUCUUCCAUUUAGGAUCUGCAAGAGCUUUCUUCCAAUCCUGCGGAAUAGACACAGAGGAAAUAGACAAGGCAAAGGCUCUAUAGGAAGGAGAUAAAGAUUCAUAAGAAACAAAGUUAGAAAUAGGGUGUUUAGUACAAGAUCUGACCCCUUUUCUUUGUGCAAUAGGUUUAUCUAAGUCAUUGAAACAUUCAAGAGUUGUGGGUACCUCACCAGAAGAAGAUUCAUGGCUGGGUAACUCACCAGGAGAAGAUUCUUGACUCUGAGUAGACUGCUAAUGGCUUCUUCUGCCUUGUCUCUCCUCGAAUACCUUCUCAAAUCUGGCUUGUCCAAACGAUCAGUUCUCUCUCCCUGAUUGGACAUCUCCCCCUGUCUACUAGAACUCAAACUUUCUAGUUGAACCAUAUCAUUCGGAAUCACAGAAUUCGAGAUCACCUCUUCUUGCUCAUUAGUCUCCCCCUGAAGAGGUGAGUGGGUGGUACUGAAGUAGGAUUCAGUUUCUCGGAAGGUAACAUCCAUACUAACUAAGUAUUUUUACUAGAGGGAGGAUGAUAACACUUGUAUCCCUUCUGUGUUGGAGAAUACCCAACAAACACACAUUUAAGGGCCUUGGGAUCCAGUUUUCCUGCCGUCCUAGUAUGGACAAAGAAACACACCCAAAUACUUUUGGUGGAACAACGUAUGAAUUCUUCUCUUGUAGAACCGCCAAAGGACUCAUAAAGUCAAGGGUCUUGAGAGGCAUUCUAUUGAUAAGAUAAGCAGAUGCAAGAAUUGCAUCUCCUCAAUAUGCUUUGGGUAGAUUCAUGGUGAACAUAAGAGAUCGAGCUACCUCCAAUAGAUGACAAACCAUUAAUAAAGGUGACAAACCAAUAUGCUUUGGGCAGAUUCAGUUUGAACAUAAGAGACCCAAGUCAUUCGAGUGCAACAAUUAAUAAAGGUGACAAACCAUCGAUUACCAGACAAGGAGACAGUUUGAGUAGGCCUCCAAACAUCAGAAUGAAUAUUCACAAAAGGAAUUUGACUUUUAUUAUGACUCAAAGGAUAGGAUGUUCUAGCGUGUUUAGCAUACUCACAAGCAUCACAAAAUAGAGAAUCAAACUGAGUUCUAGCAAACAAAUUAGGAUAAAGUUUUUCUAAGGCAAAAAAUGAUAGAUGCCCUAACCGUCUGUGCCACUGUAUUAUUUCCUGAUUGACAUCCUUAUUUUCUCCAAAACAGGCCUGAGAUAUCGAAGAACCUGGAUCACCCUCCAACAUAUAUAAGCCAUCAUGCAGCCUACCAUUGUCAAUCCUCUUUCCUGUGUGAAGAUCCUAAAUAACACAAUGAUCAGGAAAGAAUUCAAUUUUACAAUUAAGGGCAUUGGUAAUAGCACUGACAGAUAAAAGGUUGACAGGAAAGUGGGGAACAUGAAGGACAGAUGAUAAUUUAAUGUUGGAUGUGCAAAUAACAAAACCUGUUCCGGAUAUGGGAGUAAAAGAGCCAUCAGCAAUUCUGACACUAUCUUUGGUUAGAGAAGGAAAAUAAUUGAGAAAGCCUUUAGAAGAGCCUGUCAUGUGUCUAUUCACACCAGAAUCGAUAAUCCAUGGAACAUUAUUAAGAGAGGAAGCAUUACCUGACCUUACAAAGUUAGAUGUGGCACCGGAGGACGAGGAAUCAGAGUUAGAAAUCGAGAUCCUUUUACCUUCUGCCAUGGUAAAGAUUUGUGAACCGUGAAAGAAUAGGAGGUACCCAAGGUUGUACACACAAGAGAGCCCAAUCGAUUCACCAAAGGACCAGGUAGCGGCACGAGAAGGCCGGAAAGAUGGUCGGAAUCGUCGCUGAAGUGAUCGGAGCAGCGAAGCAGCGUCAGGCGAUUGGUCACAUGCCGGGAAAGGGAGGCGCGUGAGCCUCACGUGCGGGCUUUUUCGGCGUCGGAGCUGGGCGAUCGCCCGAUGACAGUCCUGGUGCCGGCGGUGAGAGGAGGAAAGGCUCCUAGAUGGGUUAGUACAAAAAAAGGUAGAUCUAGGAUUUUGAAACCCUAAAGAGGAAAAAAUUAAAUUUGAACCCUAAAAUCAGGAAAAGGCUAUGAUACCAUGAAGAUUUUUGGGAAAAUUUAG